ACGGUCCAGACACCUACGGGUGGCAGCAGUCGAGAAUUUUUCUCAAUGGGGGAAACCCUGAAGGAGCGACGCCGCGUGGAGGAUGAAGGUCUUCGGGUUGUAAACUCCUGUCAUUUGGGAACAAUGCGCAAAUAUUAACUGUAUUUGCGUUGAUAGUACCAGAAGAGGAAGAGACGGCUAACUCUGUGCCAGCAGCCGCGGUAAUACAGAGGUCUCAAGCGUUGUUCGGAUUCAUUGGGCGUAAAGGGUGCGUAGGCGGCGCGGUAAGUCGGGUGUGAAAUCUUGGAGCUUAACUCCGAAACUGCAUUCGAUACUGCCGUGCUUGAGGACUGGAGAGGAGACUGGAAUUUACGGUGUAGCGGUGAAAUGCGUAGAUAUCGUAAGGAAGACCAGUGGCGAAGGCGGGUCUCUGGACAGUUCCUGACGCUGAGGCACGAAGGCCAGGGGAGCAAACGGGAUUAGAUACCCCGGUAGUCCUGGCAGUAAACGGUGCACGUUUGGUGUGGGAGGAUUCGACCCCUUCUGCGCCGGAGCUAACGCGUUAAACGUGCCGCCUGGGGAGUACGGUCGCAAGAUUAAAACUCAAAGAAAAUUG
rnacentral:rRNA from 1 species